CCUACGGGCGGCUGCAGUGGGGAAUAUUGGGCAAUGGGCGCAAGCCUGACCCAGCAACGCCGCGUGAAGGAAGAAGGCUUUCGGGUUGUAAACUUCUUGUCGCAGGGACGAAGCAAGUGACGGGACCGGAGGAAUAAGCCACGGCUAAGUACGUGCCAGCAGCCGCGGUAAUACGUAGGUGGCACGCGUUAGCCGGAUUUACGGGGUGUAAAGGGCGUGUAGGCGGGACGGAAAGUCAGAGGGGAAAACCCCGGGCUCAACCUGUGGCCUGCAUUUGAAACGGUAGUUCUUGAGUACUGGAGCGGCAGCCGGACUUCCUCUUGUAGCGGUGACAUUCGUAGUUCUU
rnacentral:rRNA from 1 species